rnacentral:rRNA from 1 species
GACGAACGCUGGCGGCGUGCCUAAUACAUGCAAGUCGAGCGAAGUUUUUCUGGUGCUUGCACUAGAAAAACUUAGCGGCGAACGGGUGAGUAACACGUAAAGAACCUGCCUCAUAGACUGGGACAACUAUUGGAAACGAUAGCUAAUACCGGAUAACAGUAUUUCUCGCAUGAGAGAUAUUUAAAAGUUGGUUAUGCUAACACUAUGAGAUGGCUUUGCGGUGCAUUAGCUAGUUGGUGGGGUAAAGGCCCACCAAGGCGACGAUGCAUAGCCGACCUGAGAGGGUGAUCGGCCACACUGGGACUGAGACACGGCCCAGACUCCUACGGGAGGCAGCAGUAGGGAAUCUUCCGCAAUGGGCGAAAGCCCGACGGAGCAACGCCGCGUGAGUGAAGAAGGAUUUCGGUUCGUAAAGCUCUGUUGUUAGGGAAGAAUGGAUAUGUAGUAACUAUACAUAUAAGAGACGGUACCUAACCAGAAAGCCACGGCUAACUACGUGCCAGCAGCCGCGGUAAUACGUAGGUGGCAAGCGUUGUCCGGAAUUAUUGGGCGUAAAGCGCGCGCAGGUGGUUUAAUAAGUCUGAUGUGAAAGCCCACGGCUCAACCGUGGAGGGUCAUUGGAAACUGUUAAACUUGAGUGCAGGAGAGAAAAGUGGAAUUCCUAGUGUAGCGGUGAAAUGCGUAGAGAUUAGGAGGAACACCAGUGGCGAAGGCGGCUUUUUGGCCUGUAACUGACACUGAGGCGCGAAAGCGUGGGGAGCAAACAGG